rnacentral:rRNA from 1 species
GACGAACGCUGGCGGCGUGCUUAACACAUGCAAGUCGAACGAUGACGACCGAGCUUGCUCGGUCUGAUUAGUGGCGAACGGGUGAGUAACACGUGAGCAACCUGCCCUUCACUCUGGGAUAACCUCGGGAAAUCGGGGCUAAUACCGGAUAUGAGCUCCUGUCGCAUGGCGGGUGUUGGAAAGUUUUUCGGUGAAGGAUGGGCUCGCGGCCUAUCAGUUUGUUGGUGAGGUAGUGGCUCACCAAGGCGAUGACGGGUAGCCGGCCUGAGAGGGCGACCGGCCACACUGGGACUGAGACACGGCCCAGACUCCUACGGGAGGCAGCAGUGGGGAAUAUUGCACAAUGGGCGAAAGCCUGAUGCAGCGACGCCGCGUGAGGGAUGACGGCCUUCGGGUUGUAAACCUCUUUCAGCAGAGAAGAAGCGAAAGUGACGGUACCUGCAGAAGAAGCGCCGGCUAACUACGUG